CAAAGAGAUAGAAAGAGCGAGAGUGUAAAGAAACGAAAACUAGGAGAAAUUUGCAAGAAAACUGCUGGUAAAUUGCUCACCGAGAACUUGUUCUCGAUUGAUAACUGAUGAAAAGUAUCGGCAGGAUUUAAUAGAAAAAGUGGUGAAGGAGCAGAGUGUGAGACUGG